UCGAGCGAUUCCGGCGGGAGGCUCGGGCGAUCUCCCGGCUCGACCACCCCAACAUCCUGACGGUGCACGACUACGGCGAGCAGGAUGGCUGGACCUACAUGAUCAGCCCGUAUAUCGGCGGGGGGACCCUCGCCGCUCGCCUGCGUCGCGGUGCCUGGAGCGUCGCGGACGCCCUACCCAUCCUGGGACCCCUGGCCUCGGCGCUCGACUACGCCCACGCC
rnacentral:misc_RNA from 1 species